ensembl:lncRNA
UCAUCACACUAUAAAGCUCAUAUUGUUUUUUAUUUUUAUUUGGAAUAAGUCAAUUAAGACUUAAUGUCCAUGCAUUUCUGUGCCAUUAAAUCCUAAACAGCCUGAAAUCAUUUUUUUACUGAAAAGCAAAAAAAAAAGCAAAAAAAAAAGAAAAACAAAUCUCACUUUAUGCCAGCUGAUUAAUACAAAGGUGAAUCAAAUGAAAAGCUUAUUUUGUUGUUGUGGUUGUUUAUUGCGAAUGAGUGUCCCCAAAGUGUAUCGUUUUUCAUAAUCUCUAUUUCUGUCAAUGCAAGAGUUUCUAGAUUCUUCUAGAUAAAAUUUUAGACUGGGUUGUAAUGUCGCGGUUUUCAGGUUUUCAUUUCAUCACUCUUGCCGUUUUAUUAUCUGAAAAGUUAUUAAAAUGGGAUUCGAAAUGAAAACAUUUUCUGCAGAAAUAUCCAGACUGAUCAAAGAAACGGGAUGAAAUGAUUUCCGCGAUAAAUAUAGCUUCCUUACGACUACCAAACAUUUCCGAUUUUAUUCGCUAAAAGCAAACUGUCAACAAAACUUUCAGAUCUAAUUUGUCCUUAUUCGUCAUUUUAUCCCUUUGUGCGCAUUCGAUCAAAUCUGAAAUCUGAACUAGCGUCUAAAACGUCAACUUAAGCAAAAAAAAAAGUCAGAAUUUCAUGCUCCAUGAAGCAAAAAAAAAAGAAAAAAAAAACACAUCUGAAAUCUCUGACAUAAAGAAACCCGUUCCUAAUGCAAAACCUGUGAUUGUGUACCGGAAAACGAAACAAGUUAAACAAGUGAAUCGCCUGAAUCAAAUCUAAACUCGAAUCUUUAGAGUGUGAGAUAAACUGAACAUAUGAAUGAUUUUUUACUCUGAAUUAUAAAAAGCAAAAUGUUUUUUUAAAAAAAGAAAUCACAAUUCAUUCUCGUUCAACAUCUGAUAUUGUGACUCGUCGCUGUUCCUCUCGGUGUCCAGGUGAGACUUGUAGCCUAAAGCUCCGCCCCUCCAGUAAAGACGCCACGUGUAGGAUCGUCUGGGAACAUAUCGUAUCUUUCUCCGUCCUCUACUCCUCCCGUUGCGUCGCUCCGUCCAUCCCGAUCUUCUCCCUUCACUUCCACCUGCGCAGUCGGAAUCAAAAUGACUCACUCUGAAUCGAUUCAGUAAAUCGACUCGUUUUAGCGAACUGAAUCAAAUGUACCUUUAAAGAAUCUUUUUUUUUUAAAUGUAAUUUGUCAAAUGGAUUGUGAAUUAUAAAUAGAAUGUUAGCUAGCGAGGCUAGUCAGCAACACGCUAGUAACCGCUCGUCUCAAAACGUUUCGCUAGCUAGACGAGCAUCAGCAUAAUCUCGGUGCAAUUUGUUUCUUUACCUUCUUUAAGUCUUCCUGCUUUUCUUUAUUUUCAUCAACAUCGUGAGGAGAAGGAGAACUGGAACCCUGGCGCAGGACAGAAAUGACAACAUGUUUAAUAAGCGCCAAAAAUCUCCAACCCAAGUCGACGGUCGGACUCGGUUGCCAUGGCAACACGCAUCGGCGAAGGGAACGUACUCAAAAUAAAACCCGAUAAGUGCCGUCGGAAACGAGUUGAAAAGUUGAAGCAAAUGAUUAGACUUUGUAUGUAUUAUUCUAAUAUUUUGUUCAACUUCAGACUAAAUAUAUUUUUUUCAAAUAAAUAAAUAAACCUGCUCCAGUAACGAAAAUAA